CCUACGGGAGGCAGCAGUGAGGAAUAUUGGUCAAUGGGCGAGAGCCUGAACCAGCCAAGUCGCGUGAAGGAUGACGGCCCUACGGGUUGUAAACUUCUUUUGUCAGGGAGCAAUUGGGUCCACGCGUGGGCUUAGCAAGAGUACCUGAAGAAAAAGCAUCGGCUAACUCCGUGCCAGCAGCCGCGGUAAUACGGAGGGUGCGAGCGUUAAUCGGAAUUACUGGGCGUAAAGGGCUCGUAGGCGGUAUGUCAAGUCAAGGGUGAAAUCCCCGCGCUCAACGUGGGAACUGCCUUUGAAACUGGCAAACUGGAGUGUGUGAGAGGAUAGUGGAAUUCCAGGUGUAGGAGUGAAAUCCGUAGAUAUCUGGAGGAACAUCAGUGGCGAAGGCGACUAUCUGGCACAUAACUGACGCUGAGGAGCGAAAGCGUGGGUAGCAAACAGGAUUAGAUACCCCAGUAGUC
rnacentral:rRNA from 1 species